AGAAUGAAACACCACUUACCAGCAGCCACGGUGUUGAAAAUAUCCUCUGGCAAUUAAAAAAUGCAUGUGCGGUGUGAGGAAUCGUCCCGGUCGGAUGAGGUCGUCGUCGUUGUCGUCAGGUGAAAGGUCAUCAUGUUGGUCAUUUUAUUUACGACUAAAUUAUUAUUAAUACAUUUUACUAAUAUUAUGAUUGGGCGUGGGCAGGCAUUCACAAAAGGGAACGUUAUUACAAAAAAAAAAAAAAAAUUCGAGAAAAUUUAGCUUUGACAAAAGGGCACUUAAGGGGCAAAGGAGCAGGUGCUCAAGUGAACCAGUUGUUUCCGACAAUUCAAUCAAAUAAACCGGUUGAAAAAAUUAAAUACGGUUCACCGCUUCUUUUGCGGUCGAUGUAAUGUCAUUGGCGAUGACUGCCCUUCAUACAAGCCUUCAGUUUACCCGCGCUUAUAACAUUAGAACAGAAUACGUCCAGAAUCAAUCAUCAAAAGAAUAAGUUUGUGGAAGUGUGAACUGACCAUGUGUGGUCCUUGUCUGGAAUCUAGACCUGAUCCACACUAGGACCAUCAAUCAUUGCGGUAUGUGGACCAAGCAAAAGCUGGUUGUGUGGGCUGGAACUGGGCCAGAGAAAUUUCCCUAUGUAGGCAGAAGCCAAACUUCAAUUCAUUCUCCUCAUCAAAUGUAAACCAUCAUCAUGGUGACCAUAGUGGUUUUCGGGAAAACUCCAUCGUAAGUGUCAGUAUUUGUGAACAAAGAGCUACAUGUGGGGUUUGUUCAUACUAAAUGCUGUCUUUUGAUUCAUCUUUCGUAGUACAUAUGGUGCGAAGAAUUACAGUCAUGAUUGCACAACACCAUUCACAGGAGAGUCAGUAGUCACCUUACCCGACUAAUAACCUUCACCCAGUUUAUGGAUUGCAAACCUUUCCGAUUGGACCUACUCUGGGACAACAAUAUGCCCCCAGCAUCCACAUAUCUGGAGUCUGCAGGUCAGAUUCCUGCUUCCUUCAGUCAGGCUGCAUAUGAUGAAGAUCAGAUCAUUUUUCCAGGAGGUCUCCCAUCCAGUGUUUGCCUGACGUUGAUGACGGAAAAGAGGGGGAAAAUCUAAAACUGGUUCAUUAGACGCCCACGAGCUGAUCUGGUAACACUGUGAGCAUCAAGAGAAGUUAGUUGAAGAGGAAGAGCAGCACGAUGGCGUUCACCUCAGCGGUUCUCAUGUUCCUGUCUGCGGGUUUAUUCACGGUAACAGACGGAGCUGACUGUGAGAGCUAUUACACCAGCAAGAACAAGUACAGACCUUCGUUUAACUGCGGGUUUCUGCAGCACUGCUGUGGAACCUGCAAUGACAGAUUCUGCUGCCCCCUUGAUAUUUUGAGGUUAUCCAAGCGUGAUCAAAAUAUGUGCAAUAUCGGCAGGAACCUUGGUUUUAUCAUUGGUUUAUCAAUAGCAGGGUUUGCGGCCUUCGUCAUCUUGUUCAUCUGCUGCUGCUGCUGCUGCUGCCCCUGCUGCUGUUUCUAUCAAACGUGCAGAAGACACAGAACUGCGGUACAAACAAAUGUAACUACAGUCAUGAAUUCACAAUCCAUUCAGAUGCAGCCAGUAAUGCAGGUAGUCCAGCCCCAACAAUACCAACCAGUGCCGACUCAAGCAGGUUACGGGGGUCAGCCUAUGCAGACAGCACCAUAUCAGGGACAGUCAAAUGCACCAGAACCCCCACCCUCGUAUGACAUGGCCAGUAAGAACAUCUAGUGCUGGAUAGACUGAGACCAUGCAGUAUCUGGAGUCUGGUCAGUUUUAUGCUCUCUUCAGUCAGGCUGCAUGUGAUGAAGAUCAGAUCAUGUACGCUCUACAAGCACAGCUUCAACCAGCGCUUCCCACAGACCACACCUCACUUCAACCACCACACAACCCUGAUUACGUGGAUUCACCAGAGACCAGUUAAACACCACCCCACCGCACCACACACACACACACACACCCACACACACACACACACACAAAUGGCCACUUAUCAACUCUGGAUUGUGGAGGGUUUCACAUUCCCGUGCUUCUUCUACAAAGAACAAUUGUGUUGAGAAUAAAAGUAUUGUUGCUUCAAUUUAGCUUAAACUUGCUUUCAAUUUUUUUUUACUCCAGUCAUUACCCACUGUUUGUUAGUUUCUCUUUAAUUUUAACCAGAUUUGCUCUCAGUGUGGUUUGACACCUUUUGUUGUAUUGCCUUUUGUUUAAUGGUCAAUAAAUGGCAUCAUAAAACGAAUUGUUUAAUGGUCAAAAGUUAAUGCAUCUUAUCUAAAUGUGAAAACAAUCCUUUGUACAAUUUUAUCGUAGAUUUUGAACAUUAUUCUAUCAAAUAAAUCAACCAGUCACGGGCCAACUUCAUACUUCCGGUGAAUAAAUGGCAGAAAUCUUAAACUGAACAGCUCUCCGUGUGAGAAAACAUUCUUGCACCAUCUUAAGACUGUUUUUAUUGUAUAUUUGUUUUUAUUGUAUAUUGUUUUAUUGUAUAUUUUGGACAUACUCUUAAAGAUAAAGGUUCUUUACUGGCAUUAAUGGUUCCACAAAGAACGUAUACAUAGAACCUGUGGUCCACUGUAUAGAGCAAUAGUCAAAUGGAAUUAGUGGCCUAAAGUCAGUCACACCUCCACCAUUCCAAAUAAUGUACAUUUCAUUCAUAAUAUUAUUAAUACAGGCCUACAGUUCCUGCACAUUUCUGUUUUUCUGAAUUGCAUGAAAUGGCUAUUAAAAAUAAGUUAUACAAAAUCAUUAUGUGGUCACUUAAGCUGAGUUCAGACCGCAAUUUUAGCCCUGAUUUUGGCACACCGACAGGUUUUGAGAAAUUGCCGACAAAUGGCCAAAAUCACAGGCAAAUCGGUGCUCGUUCACGCAAGUGACAAUCACGCAGUGAAUUGCCGACAAUUCCCAGACAGCCGUGAGAUUUUUGGCAUGUUAAAUAUUUGGACCAAUGCUUGCCAAGAUAGUUAUGCAGUGUGAAAAGAACAGUGACCCGACUACUUUGAAAAUUGUGCAGUCUGAACUCGGCUUCAGGCAAAUUGGUUUAGACUUGACUUCUGAUCGUGACCGUGUUUCACAGGAAAUCUGUUAAUUGUCCAGUGCCAAAUAAACACAGAGAUGGAAAGGAAAAGGUCAAAGCGAUGAGGUGCCCAAUUUAGAAAAAAAAGGAAAAGAAGAAGAGAAGAAAUUAGCUAAAGAUAAAGGUAUGCAGCUUUUAAUGGAAGGGUUAAUUGGUGGGUAUAACUCUUAAGUUGCCUUUGGAUACUUCACUCAUACUGCAUAUGAGGAAAAGCUUAAUUUCCCUCAAUGCUGAAGACUUUUUUAAUACUGCAGUGAAACUGCACUGCCAUUGGUUCAAACUUGAAAACUUUUUGAACCAAUGACGGUGCGGCAAAGCUGCGUGAGCCUGUGGCGAUGCAGUGCACCAAAACCUGCCAAAAUGGGCAUGAGUCUUGCCUCUCUGCGCUCAUGGAUUGCUUUCUUCAAUGAAAGCGGUCCCACCCCUCACGCCCUCCCGUUUUUCCUGCUUCAGUGAGCCAGCUAGGAAGAGACAGUGGGGUAGAGGGGCUCAGUGCCCGGACUUGGGUGAGCCCACGCCUGCUCAGUACCCGCGUGCAUCACCCUCUCCAAUGAGAGAGCUGAGCUGGGAUGGACGCCAAGCUUUUCCACAUCCUCUCAAUAUGAGACAAGUCUGGUUCUGACACACCUGCCUUUCGCAACCUCCGUAUCACCACGGAUUUGGCCAUGCACGCCACAAAAGCCACAGACCUGACCAUCGAAUGAUCCAUGGCCAACUUGAUUGUGCUAGAGUGCCAGCUCUGGCUCAACUUGAUGGAGAUCAAGGAGAAAGAUGAAGUGGCCUUUCUCAACUUCUGGGGAAGUCGUUGCCUAGUGG